GCGCCCGUGGCUCAACUGGAUAGAGUAACGGAUUUCGGUUCCGUGGGUUGCAGGUUCGAAUCCUGCCGGGCGCGCCA
rnacentral:tRNA from 1 species